rnacentral:rRNA from 1 species
GAUGAACGCUGGCGGCGUGCCUAAUACAUGCAAGUCGAGCGAACAGACGAGGAGCUUGCUCCUCUGACGUUAGCGGCGGACGGGUGAGUAACACGUGGAUAACCUACCUAUAAGACUGGGAUAACUUCGGGAAACCGGAGCUAAUACCGGAUAAUAUAUUGAACCGCAUGGUUCAAUAGUGAAAGACGGUUUUGCUGUCACUUAUAGAUGGAUCCGCGCCGCAUUAGCUAGUUGGUAAGGUAACGGCUUACCAAGGCGACGAUGCGUAGCCGACCUGAGAGGGUGAUCGGCCACACUGGAACGGAGACACGGUCCAGACUCCUACGGGAGGCAGCAGUAGGGAAUCUUCCGCAAUGGGCGAAAGCCUGACGGAGCAACGCCGCGUGAGUGAUGAAGGUCUUCGGAUCGUAAAACGCUGUUAUUAGGGAAGAACAAAUGUGUAAGUAACUAUGCACGUCUUGACGGUACCUAAUCAGAAAGCCACGGCUAACUACGUG